AUGAACGCUGGCGGCGUGCCUAAUACAUGCAAGUCGAGCGCACAGAUGAGGAGCUUGCUCCUCUGACGUUAGCGGCGGACGGGUGAGUAACACGUGGAUAACCUACCUAUAAGACUGGGAUAACUUCGGGAAACCGGAGCUAAUACCGGAUAAUAUAUUGAACCGCAUGGUUCCAUAGUGAAAGACGGUUUUGCUGUCACUUAUAGAUGGAUCCGCGCCGCAUUAGCUAGUUGGUAAGGUAACGGCUUACCAAGGCAACGAUGCGUAGCCGACCUGAGAGGGUGAUCGGCCACACUGGAACUGAGACACGGUCCAGACUCCUACGGGAGGCAGCAGUAGGGAAUCUUCCGCAAUGGGCGAAAGCCUGACGGAGCAACGCCGCGUGAGUGAUGAAGGUCUUCGGAUCGUAAAACUCUGUUAUUAGGGAAGAACAAAUGUGUAAGUAACUAUGCACGUCUUGACGGUACCUAAUCAGAAAGCCACGGCUAACUACGUG
rnacentral:rRNA from 1 species